AUUGAACGCUGGCGGCAGGCCUAACACAUGCAAGUCGAGCGAGCGGCGGACGGGUGAGUAAUGUAUGGGGACUGCCCGAUAGAGGGGGAUAACUACUGGAAACGGUAGCUAAUACCGCAUACUAUCGGAUAACCCAUAUUGGAUUAGCUAGUUGGUGGGGUAAAGGCUCACCAAGGCAACGAUCCGUAGCUGGUUUGAGAGGACGACCAGCCAAAUGGGGACUGAGAAACGGCCCAGACUCCUACGGAGGCAGCAGUGGGUAAUUUUGGACAAGGGGGGAAACCCUGAUCCAGCCAUCCCGCGUGGAUGAUGAAGGCCUUCGGGUUGUAAAGUACUUUUGGCAGAGAAGCGGUAUCUGCAGAAUAAGCACCGGCUAACUACGUGCCAGCAGCCGCGGUAUAC
rnacentral:rRNA from 1 species